AGUGAACGCUGGCGGUAGGCCUAACACAUGCAAGUCGAACGGCAGCACAGGAGAGCUUGCUCUCUGGGUGGCGAGUGGCGGACGGGUGAGGAAUACAUCGGAAUCUACUCUGUCGUGGGGGAUAACGUAGGGAAACUUACGCUAAUACCGCAUACGACCUACGGGUGAAAGCAGGGGAUCUUCGGACCUUGCGCGAUUGAAUGAGCCGAUGUCGUAUUGGCUAGUUGGCGGGGUAAAGGCCCACCAAGGCGACGAUCCGUAGCUGGUCUGGGAGGAUGAGCAGCCACACCGGAAAUUAGACACGGUCAAGAAUCAUACGGGAGGCAGCAGUGGGGAAUAUUGGGCAGUGGGCGCAGGCCUGAUCCAGCCCUACCGCGUGGGUGAAGAAGGCCGUCGGGUAGUAAAGCCCUUUUGUUGAGAAAGAAAUCCAGCUGGCUAAUACCCGGUUGGGAUGACGGUACCCAAAGAAUAAUCACCGGCUAACUUCGUGCCAGCAGCCGCCGUAA
rnacentral:rRNA from 1 species